rnacentral:misc_RNA from 1 species
AAAAGAGUGAUGCGUGUUAUUACAUGGGAUCGGUCAUUUAAAGGAAUGCCUAGUUUUGAUGAUGGUAAGGAUGAUGUCGACACAGAUGAGCAUGAAACUCAUGCUACUGUAUUGGAUAAGAUGCUAGCUUGGGAAAAGAAGCUUUAUGAUGNNNNNNNNAAUUAUGAAAUUUGACUAUCAAAGGAAGGUUGCUUUACUGAGUAAGCAGAAGAAACGGGGUGGUAACUCUGAGUCAUUGGAGAAAUUAAAAGCAGCUGUAAGCCAUCUGCAUACAAGAUACAUUGUAGACAUGCAAUCAAUGGACUCGACAGUUGCAGAGAUAAACCGUUUGCGAGAUGAACAAUUAUAUCCAAAACUUGUUCAGCUUGUGAAUGGGAUGGCCAUGAUGUGGGAUACCAUGCGAUUUCACCACGAGGCCCAGUUGAAGCUUGUAUCUGCCCUGAGAUCUUUGGAUAUUUCUCAGUCCCCNNNNGAAACUAGUGAAUAUCAUUAUGAUCGCACUUGUCAGCUAUGUUCGAUUGUAAGAGAUUGGC